rnacentral:rRNA from 1 species
UGAAGUCGGUGCCGGCAGCCGGGGUAAUUCGGAGGGUGCAAGCGUGAAUCGGAAUAUCUUGGGGUAAAGCGUGCGCAAGCGGCUUAUUAAGUCAGAUGUGAAAUCCCUAGGCUCAACCUAGGAACUGCAUUUGAAACUAAUAAACUAGAGUAUCGUAGAGGGAGGUAGAAUUCCAGGUGUAGCGGUGAAAUGCGUAGAUAUCUGGAGGAAUACCAGUGGCGAAGGCGACCUCCUGGACGAAAACUGACGCUCAAGCACGAAAGCAUGGGGAGCAAACAGGAUUAGAUACCCCGGUAGUC